rnacentral:lncRNA from 1 species
GGCGGAGGAGCGCGGCCUCGGUGAACGGUGGUGCGGCUGCGGGCGUGCGGGGUUGACUGCUGCGCGGCCACGAUCGCGCCAAGCUGCGGAUCGUACUCGUACGCCAGCGGCGCGCUUUGUCGCCUGCCCAGCCUCCGUGCGCCGCCGUGUCGACCCCUCGCUGAUCCGCUCUCUGAUCCUAGUACUAGUUGCGUCACCGGCGGGUAACUGUUGGCGCGGUUCGUUUCUGCUUUUCUGCUGCUGUGCUGCACCUUCACCCUCUCCACUACCACUACUGCUU